GUGCUGCCUCUGGCAGCACAUAUUUUAAAAUUGGAACAGAGAAGAUUAGCAUGGUCCCUGCACAAGUGUGACACAAAUUUGUGAAGUAUUCCAUGAAUUA
ensembl:snRNA U6 U6 spliceosomal RNA